GAUGAACGCUGGCGGCGUGCCUAACACAUGCAAGUCGAGCGAUUUACUUCGGUAAAGAGCGGCGGACGGGUGAGUAACGCGUGGGUAACCUGCCUCAUACACAUGGAUAACAUACCGAAAGGUAUGCUAAUACAAGAUGAUAUAAGAGAUUCGCAUGGAUUUCUUAUCAAAGCUCCGGCGGUAUGAGAUGGACCCGCGUCUGAUUAGCUAGUUGGUAAGGUAACGGCUUACCAAGGCGACGAUCAGUAGCCGACCUGAGAGGGUGAUCGGCCACAUUGGAACUGAGACACGGUCCAAACUCCUACGGGAGGCAGCAGUGGGGAAUAUUGCACAAUGGGCGAAAGCCUGAUGCAGCAACGCCGCGUGAGCGAUGAAGGCCUUCGGGUCGUAAAGCUCUGUCCUCAAGGAAGAUAAUGACGGUACUUGAGGAGGAAGCCCCGGCUAACUACGUGCCAGCAGCCGCAGUAAAAC
rnacentral:rRNA from 1 species